rnacentral:rRNA from 1 species
GAUGAACGCUAGCGGGAGGCCUAACACAUGCAAGCCGAGCGGUAUUGUUUCUUCGGAAAUGAGAGAGCGGCGUACGGGUGCGGAACACGUGUGCAACCUGCCUUUAUCUGGGGGAUAGCCUUUCGAAAGGAAGAUUAAUACUCCAUAAUAUAUUGAUUGGCAUCAAUUAAUAUUGAAAGCUCCGGCGGAUAGAGAUGGGCACGCGCAAGAUUAGCUAGUUGGUGAGGUAACGGCUCACCAAGGCGAUGAUCUUUAGGGGGCCUGAGAGGUGAUCCCCCACACUGGUACUGAGACACGGACCAGACUCCUACGGGAGGCAGCAGUGGGGAAUUUUGGACAAUGGGGGAAACCCUGAUCCAGCAAUGCCGCGUGAGUGAAGAAGGCCUC